UUUAUGGAGAGUUUGAUCCUGGCUCAGGAUGAACGCUGGCGGCGUGCCUAAUACAUGCAAGUCGAGCGAACGGACGAGAAGCUUGCUUCUCUGAUGUUAGCGGCGGACGGGUGAGUAACACGUGGAUAACCUACCUAUAAGACUGGGAUAACUUCGGGAAACCGGAGCUAAUACCGGAUAAUAUUUUGAACCGCAUGGUUCAAAAGUGAAAGACGGUCUUGCUGUCACUUAUAGAUGGAUCCGCGCUGCAUUAGCUAGUUGGUAAGGUAACGGCUUACCAAGGCAACGAUGCAUAGCCGACCUGAGAGGGUGAUCGGCCACACUGGAACUGAGACACGGUCCAGACUCCUACGGGAGGCAGCAGUAGGGAAUCUUCCGCAAUGGGCGAAAGCCUGACGGAGCAACGCCGCGUGAGUGAUGAAGGUCUUCGGAUCGUAAAACUCUGUUAUUAGGGAAGAACAUAUGUGUAAGUAACUGUGCACAUCUUGACGGUACCUAAUCAGAAAGCCACGGCUAACUACGUGCCAGCAGCCGCGGUAAUACGUAGGUGGCAAGCGUUAUCCGGAAUUAUUGGGCGUAAAGCGCGCGUAGGCGGUUUUUUAAGUCUGAUGUGAAAGCCCACGGCUCAACCGUGGAGGGUCAUUGGAAACUGGAAAACUUGAGUGCAGAAGAGGAAAGUGGAAUUCCAUGUGUAGCGGUGAAAUGCGCAGAGAUAUGGAGGAACACCAGUGGCGAAGGCGACUUUCUGGUCUGUAACUGACGCUGAUGUGCGAAAGCGUGGGGAUCAAACAGGAUUAGAUACCCUGGUAGUCCACGCCGUAAACGAUGAGUGCUAAGUGUUAGGGGGUUUCCGCCCCUUAGUGCUGCAGCUAACGCAUUAAGCACUCCGCCUGGGGAGUACGACCGCAAGGUUGAAACUCAAAGGAAUUGACGGGGACCCGCACAAGCGGUGGAGCAUGUGGUUUAAUUCGAAGCAACGCGAAGAACCUUACCAAAUCUUGACAUCCUUUGACAACUCUAGAGAUAGAGCCUUCCCCUUCGGGGGACAAAGUGACAGGUGGUGCAUGGUUGUCGUCAGCUCGUGUCGUGAGAUGUUGGGUUAAGUCCCGCAACGAGCGCAACCCUUAAGCUUAGUUGCCAUCAUUAAGUUGGGCACUCUAAGUUGACUGCCGGUGACAAACCGGAGGAAGGUGGGGAUGACGUCAAAUCAUCAUGCCCCUUAUGAUUUGGGCUACACACGUGCUACAAUGGACAAUACAAAGGGAAGCGAAACCGCGAGGUCAAGCAAAUCCCAUAAAGUUGUUCUCAGUUCGGAUUGUAGUCUGCAACUCGACUACAUGAAGCUGGAAUCGCUAGUAAUCGUAGAUCAGCAUGCUACGGUGAAUACGUUCCCGGGUCUUGUACACACCGCCCGUCACACCACGAGAGUUUGUAACACCCGAAGCCGGUGGAGUAACCUUUUAGGAGCUAGCCGUCGAAGGUGGGACAAAUGAUUGGGGUGAAGUCGUAACAAGGUAGCCGUAUCGGAAGGUGCGGCUGGAUCACCUCCUUU
rnacentral:rRNA from 1 species